CAGGGAUGACUACCUAUAUAAACAGCAAUACAGCAGCCAUCUGGCAGCCAAGGAAGGACGCAUCAGGAGACACUGACCCUGCCAGCACCUUGAUCUUGGAGUUCCAGCCUACUGAAUCAUGAGAAAAUACAUGUGAGCUCCCCAGGGUGUGGUAUUCAGUUACAGCAGCCCUGGGCAACUAAAAGACCAGGUUGUACCUUACUGCACCGGAGACACACGUGUGGCCCAGAUGAAAAGCAGUCUCAAAAAGAGGGAUGCCCGUCCAGUGAAAGGAGCUGCUUUAACUUCUCCCUCCCAAGGAGUUUCAGAGACAGAUCUGCUCUUCUGUGUUCAAUACAAAAUGAUCUGACCACAAAUCCCUCAGUUCCGUCUCUAUGAAUAUACCCACUUCAAAUGUGAAAUUCUAUCCACCGGUAAACAGUCAUGAAAUUUCUUGCCUCAAUUCUAUUAAUUAAAAUGACCCUCCCCCGUU